UAUAAUAUAAUUUUAAUACCGUUCUACACAUAUAAUAUUGACGUAAUGUUUAUUUAUAAGGAAGCUAAAAUCGUGGGUGGCUGAUAUAGUGCUAGAUAUGCUCUUGAGAAUUAUGGUAGCCAAUUUAAAAAGCUUAUCACUUAAUGAAUCGACAGCCUGUCUGCUAAUCUUUAACAUUUUUUUACACUACACAGUAUACUUUUGUAGUGAACUAUGUAGAGUUUGCUUCGAUAAAAAUGCUGUUUAAUAAGACAAGGUGGUGUAGAGAAUGCUGCGACAGGACACAUUUUUGAAAUUACCACCAGCCUAUAUCAACAAAUGCGUAGCAUUACAAUUUAAGAAUACAUUUUGUAUAUUGUGUAAAGAAAAUGUAAAAAUCUGUGUUUUUGAUCAAAUUAAAACUAUGAAGGCCGUCCACUGACUUUGGUGCCAUUAUAUGAUUGGUUUACAUGACACAGGUUACGCUUUCUCCAAAGGUAGAGCCGGUUGGUAUUAUCUCCAAUCUAGAUGUAUCGGGGGAAUUCGGCUAUUAAAAACAUUAUAAUUUAACUCUGCUCAAAUGAACGAAAUGAUAUAUAAUAAUUUAUAGGCACUGUACCAUUUGUAACGGACAAUAUAGUCUUUCAGGUCACCUAUAUUGGACUGGCAGGGGGUCUGACUGUAAAUGAAACUAUCUGGAAAAUAAUGACAAAACUAACGAUGAGCCAACUGACGAAGCAAAUUAACUGGCGCGGAGUGAAUGGGAAGUAUGGCUUUGAACCACUUGCCAUUAAAGAUGUUGUCCUCAAAUCUGUGCGAAGAAAUGCCAGUACUGCCAGUGCAUCGGAUGGAGACAUUGAAAAAUGUAUAGAAAGAUGGCUGCAGCUUUCAUCUGACAGAGAUGGGGGAAGAAGAGAGCAGGCCCUAAAGAAAGCAAAUUCUUUCUAAGGGUACACUCACUUGAGGAGGGUCCUGAUUUUUCCUUUUUUUUUUUUUUUUUUUUUUUUGCAUUUGUUCAUGCCAAUUUUUGCUUGUUCAUAUAAAGCUGUAUGUUAAUG